GUCUUGAUGUGUGAGAUGAUUCUGCUGGACAGAUCUUCAUCACUGACUCUCCUCCUGAAGUACUCCUCCUUCUGGGCAUCAGUGAAGCCUCGUACUUCUGUUACCCUGUCAACACAUUCAGGAGGGAUCUGAUUGGCUGCUGCAGGUCUGGAAGUUAUCCAGACGAGAGCCGAGGGAAGCAGAUUCCCCUUGAUGAGGUUUGU